GUGUUUAUUGUAACGAGAGAUGGUUAGCACUCUCCUUGUCAAGGUUGGAGUACGCAAAAUGGUUAAGGCACAAUUUGACCACAGUUUUUU